UGAGGAAUAUUGGUCAAUGGACGCAAGUCUGAACCAGCCAAGUAGCGUGCAGGAUGACGGCCCUAUGGGUUGUAAACUGCUUUUAUAUGGGGAUAAAGUGGGGAACGUGUUCCCUUUUGCAGGUACCAUAUGAAUAAGGACCGGCUAAUUCCGUGCCAGCAGCCGCGAUAAUACGGAAGGUUCGGGCGUUAUCCGGAUUUAUUGGGUUUAAAGGGAGCGUAGGCCGUUUGGUAAGCGUGUUGUGAAAUGUAGGAGCUCAACUUCUAGAUUGCAGCGCGAACUGUCAGACUUGAGUGCGCACAACGUAGGCGGAAUUCAUGGUGUAGCGGUGAAAUGCUUAGAUAUCAUGAAGAACUCCGAUUGCGAAGGCAGCUUACGGGAGCGCAACUGACGCUGAAGCUCGAAGGUGCGGGUAUCGAACAGG
rnacentral:rRNA from 1 species